rnacentral:rRNA from 1 species
GAUGAACGCUGGCGGCGUGCCUAAUACAUGCAAGUCGAACGCUGGAAAUCUAGCUUGCUAGAUUGAAGGAGUGGCGAACGGGUGAGUAAUACAUAAGCAACCUACCCACGAAGACUGGGAUAAUCUCUGGAAACGGGGACUAAUACCGGAUAGGUAAUCGGAAGGCAUCUUCUGAUUAUUAAAGGUUAAAAACACUGGUGGAUGGGCUUAUGGCGCAUUAGUUAGUUGGUGAGGUAACGGCCCACCAAGACGAUGAUGCGUAGCCGGCCUGAGAGGGUGAAGGGCCACAUGGGGACUGGGACACGGCCCAGACUCCUACGGGAGGCAGCAGUAGGGAAUUUUCGGCAAGGGGGGAAACCCUGACCGAGCAACGCCGCGUGAGUGAUGACGGCCUUCGGGAUGUAAAGCUCUGUUGUAAGGGAAGAACGGUAGAUAGAGAAUAUCUAAAUGACGGUACCUGACCAGAAAGCCACGGCUAACUACGUG